rnacentral:rRNA from 1 species
UACGUAGGUGGCAAGCGUUGUCCGGAAUCACUGGGCGUAAAGCGCGCGCAGGCGGCGAUCUACGUCUGGGGUGAAGGCCCGGAGCUCAACUCCGGGACUGCCUUGGAUACGGGAUCGCUUGAGAAUUGGAGAGGCAAGGGGAAUUCCACGUGUAGCGGUGAAAUGCGUAGAUAUGUGGAGGAACACCUGUGGCGAAGGCGCCUUGCUGGCCAAUUUCCGACGCUGAGGCGCGAAAGCGUGGGGAGCAAACAGG